rfam:Gemmatimonas sp. SM23_52 WORSMTZ_115161, whole genome shotgun sequence.
AGGCCGGUAGCUCAACUGGCAGAGCAACGGACUCUUAAUCCGUAGGUUGAGGGUUCGAGUCCCUCCCGGCCUA